UACGUAGGGCGCGAGCGUUGUCCGGAAUUAUUGGGCGUAAAGGGCUCGUAGGCGGCCAACUAAGUCGGAUGUGAAAUCCCCAGGCUUAACCUGGGAACUGCAUCCGAUACUGGAUGGCUUGAAUUCGGGAGAGGGAUGCAGAAUUCCAGGUGUAGCGGUGAAAUGCGUAGAUAUCGUCUGGAACGCCGAAGGUGAAAACAGCUCGCUGGGGUUGUGCUGACGCUGAGACACGAAAGCCAGGGGAGCGAACGGG
rnacentral:rRNA from 1 species